rnacentral:rRNA from 1 species
UGAGCAAUCUGCCCUUCUCAUCGGAAUAAGCGUUGGAAACGACGUCUAAUGCCGAAUACGACCUCCUUUCGCAUGAUCGGAGGUGGAAAGCUCCGGCGGAGAAGGAUGAGCUCGCGGCCUAUCAGCUAGUUGGUGUGGUAAUGGCCCACCAAGGCGACGGACGGGUAGCCGGCCUGAGAGGGUGACCGGCCACACUGGGACUGAGACACGGCCCAGACUCCGUACGGGAGCA